GUUUCAGCCGCCGCGGUAAUACGUAGGGUGCGAGCGUUAUCCGGAAUUAUUGGGCGUAAAGAGCUCGUAGGCGGUUUGUCGCGUCUGUCGUGAAAGUCCGGGGCUUAACCCCGGAUCUGCGGUGGGUACGGGCAGACUAGAGUGCAGUAGGGGAGACUGGAAUUCCUGGUGUAGCGGUGGAAUGCGCAGAUAUCAGGAGGAACACCGAUGGCGAAGGCAGGUCUCUGGGCUGUAACUGACGCUGAGGAGCGAAAGCAUGGGGAGCGAACAGGAUUAGAUACCCUGGUAGUCCAUGCCGUAAACGUUGGGCACUAGGUGUGGGGACCAUUCCACGGUUUCCGCGCCGCAGCUAACGCAUUAAGUGCCCCGCCUGGGGAGUACGGCCGCAAGGCUAAAACUCAAAGGAAUUGACGGGGGCCCGCACAAGCGGCGGAGCAUGCGGAUUAAUUCGAUGCAACGCGAAGAACCUUACCAAGGCUUGACAUGUUCUCGAUCGCCGUAGAGAUACGGUUUCCCCUUUGGGGCGGGUUCACAGGUGGUGCAUGGUUGUCGUCAGCUCGUGUCGUGAGAUGUUGGGUUAAGUCCCGCAACGAGCGCAACCCUCGUUCCAUGUUGCCAGCACGUCGUGGUGGGGACUCAUGGGAGACUGCCGGGGUCAACUCGGAGGAAGGUGAGGACGACGUCAAAUCAUCAUGCCCCUUAUGUCUUGGGCUUCACGCAUGCUACAAUGGCCGGUACAAUGGGUUGCGAUACUGUGAGGUGGAGCUAAUCCCAAAAAGCCGGUCUCAGUUCGGAUUGGGGUCUGCAACUCGACCCCAUGAAGUCGGAGUCGCUAGUAAUCGCAGAUCAGCAACGCCGCGGUGAAUACGUUCCCGGGCUUUGUACACACCGCCCGUCAAAC
rnacentral:rRNA from 1 species